UACGUAGGGGACGAGGCGUUGUCCGGAUUUAUUGGGCGUAAAAGGCUUGUAGGUGGCCACGGCAAGUCGGCUGUGAAAUCUCCCGGCUCAACUGGGAGGGUCAGUCGAUACUGGCGGGCUCGAGGCCGGUAGGGGAAGCGGAAUUCCCGGUGUAGUGGUGGAAUGCGUAGAUAUCGGGAGGAACACCAGUGGCGAAGGCGGCUCCUGGACCGGUUCUGACAC
rnacentral:rRNA from 1 species